GCUGGAGAGAUGGCUCAGUGGGUUAAAAGCACUGACUGCUCUUCCAGGGGUCCUGAGUUCAAUUCCCAGCAACCACAUGGUGGCUCACAACCGUCUGUAAUGGGAUCCGAUGCCCUCUUGUGUGUCUAAAGGCAGCUACAGUACUCAUACACAUUAAAUAAGAAGAUAAGCUUUCUUGAUACUAUUAGACUUCAGAGACAAAAAAACAGAGGUGGGGAAUGAAUCCUAUUGUUUAUAGACAUUGUAAAGUUCCUAAUUUAAAAUAAAAAUUGUGAGUUUUGUUCAUAAAGCAUUUGCAGAAUACAUAUUAGGAUACAAAACAUCCAAAAAAUAACAGUACAGACUAGCUUCUGAUUAAAAGGAGGUGGACCGGAUGCAUGCUGCAGUCUUCAGCUUCCACACCACGUACGUACGUACGUACGUACGUAAGAGUUACAGCUGGUUCAUGCCUGAGACCUCAACAUCCCAGAGACCAAGCAACUAAACCAUGUGUUGGGGACAGCUGGUACAUAGCAAGACCCUGGCAAUGGAAGAUGACAAUUAAGAAACAAAACAAAAAACAGAAUCACCUAAAAGAAGAGACACUUGAAGUAGACACUAGAAGAUGGCGAAAGAUGGGGAGCAAACAGGACCAGAAGGAAGGAGCAGACAGCUUUUUGUAGCAGAAUACAAGGGGUAAUUGUUACAGAUAAUGAGAGCAGCACUUAGUGAUCCCCACCUCAUUUGACUAAAACCUAGAAACAAGGAGGACACCAGAAGCAGCAUUCACAUAGGUCUAACUCUCUAUCCCAUCCUAUCCCUAAAAGAAAGGCAAAGGUGAAGACUAUGGGAACUUGGAAGGGAAAGAGCAGCCACCCACACACUUAGCCACACAGUCAGACUGGGCCAUCUUUCCAACCCUCUUCCCCUCCCUAGGCAACCAGCAAGGCAGAGGCAACAGUCUGUUCCCAACAACAAAGAAAAAUGAACACACAGCAGACAGUUGAGAAAUACCAACAAAGUACAGUAUGAGGGCAUUCACUGUUGGAAGAAGUUAAUACAGAGAUAGAACAAGGCAUCAAAAUGAGUGUUCAGAGGAAUGUAAAAAAGUACCCUUAAGGGCUGGUGAGAUGGCUCAGUGGGUAAGAGCACCCGACUGCUCUUCCGAAGGUCUGAAGUUCAAAUCCCAGCAACCACAUGGUGGCUCACAACCAUCUGUAACAAGAUCUGACGCCCUCUUCUGGAGUGUCUGAAGACAGCUACAAUGUACUUACAUAUAAUAAAUAAAUAAAUCUUUAAAAAAAAAAAAAGUACCCUUAAAAAUACAGUUAGUGUCUUAGAAAUGGGGAAGUUCUUCUGUUAUUGGCUGUCUGUUUGUUUGUCUGUUUGUUUGUUUGUUUGUUUGUUUGUUUUGUUUUAGGGGUGGUUUUUUAACGGUUCCUAUGUUAUGGUGCACAUCUGAAGAUCAAAGAUCAACUUUUUGACAUAGAUUCUUGCCACCUUGUAGGAUCCUGAGAUCAAACUCAGGUUGGGAAGCCUGGAAGUAGGUGCCUUUACCACUGAGCCAUCUCACACACCCAGAAAGUAAUGUUUCUAAUGAAAACUGCUGCAUGAUACCGAAUGGAAUGGACAAGGUUGAAAACAUUAUUUGUUGUUUUUAUUGAAAUGCUGGGGUUUAAAAACACCUCUAGAAAACAAUAGAAAUAAUUUCUAGAAUUUUAGCAAAUAAAGGAUGCACAUGAGCAAGAAUCAGCAUUUUUUUCUUUCUCAGCCCUGAUUAUAAGUAUGUCAGAUCUUGUAGGUCCUGUUACAAUUAUGUGGCAGAUGCAGAUAAAAUAAAGCAAAUGCAUGCAAAUUCCAAUAGAACUUUAAAAAUAAACUCAGAAAUAAUCACAUAGUGUUUCACAUCACAAGUUAUUCCUGUGAUUUUUCUUUGAAAUUAAAAAAGGUAAAAGUAUUCUUAGCUCAUGGGUUGUACGAAAACAGGUAUGAAGACAGAGUUGGCUUAUCAUAUAGCUUGCCAACCCUCCAUGAGUGUGAAUUCAUCACACAAAAUAAUAAAGAACUGAAAAUCUUUAGCAAGAAAAAUACAUUACCCACAAAGUGACUGC
rnacentral:lncRNA from 1 species